rnacentral:misc_RNA from 1 species
GAAAGUGCGAAACGUAAUGUGAAUUGCAGAAUUCAGUGAAUCAUCGAAUCUUUGAACGCAUCUUGCGCCCCUUGGUAUUCCGAGGGGCAUGCCUGUUUGAGUGUCGUGAACUUCCAUCGACCCUGGACUUUGUAAUGGGGUCUCGGGGCGGAUUUGGGCGCUGCGGGUCCCGUUCGCGGUCCGCUCGUCUUGAAAUGCAUCAGCCGGUCUGUAAUGCCUCGGUCUGACGGCGGCGUGAUAAGGUGUUCGUGCCGUAAUCGUCGUCUGCGAUCGGGGGGGAUGGCCCGGCUUCUAAUGGUCUUCGGACGGCUUCAUUGUGAUCUGACCUCAAAUCAGGUAGGACUACCCGCUGAACUUAA